GGCUCAGUUGCUUAGUUGGUAAAGCACUUGUCUAGUGAAUAAGAGUCGUGAGUUCAAAUCUCACCUGAGCUG
rnacentral:tRNA from 1 species